rnacentral:tRNA from 1 species
GGGGCUGUAGCUCAGCUGGGGGAGCGCCGCCUUUGCAAGGCGGAGGCCGCCGGUUCGAUCCCGGCCAGCUCCACCA